rnacentral:rRNA from 1 species
UUGGGCACUCUAAUGAGACUGCCGGUGACAAACCGGAGGAAGUGGGGAUGACGUCAAGUCCUCAUGGCCCUUAUAGGUGGGGCUACACACGUCAUACAAUGGAUGGUACAAAGGGUCGCCAACCCGCGAGGGGGAGCCAAUCCCAUAAAGCCAUUCGUAGUCCGGAUCGCAGUCUGCAACUCGACUGCGUGAAGUCGGAAUCGCUAGUAAUCGUGGAUCAGAAUGUCACGGUGAAUACGUUCCCGGGUCUU